CCUACGGGACGCACCAGUGGGGAAUAUUGGACAAUGGGCGAAAGCCUGAUCCAGCAAUGCCGCGUGUAUGAAGAAGGCCUUCGGGUUGUAAAGUACUUUCAGCGGGGAUGAAGGGAGUAAAGUUAAUACCUUUGCUCAUUGACGUUACCCGCAGAAGAAGCCCCGGCUAACUUCGUGCCAGCAGCCGCGGUAAUACGAAGGGGGCUAGCGUUGCUCGGAAUGACUGGGCGUAAAGGGCGCGUAGGCGGUUUAUGCAGUCAGAUGUGAAAUCCCCGGGCUUAACCUGGGAACUGCAUUUGAGACGCAUAGACUAGAGGUCGAGAGAGGGUUGUGGAAUUCCCAGUGUAGAGGUGAAAUUCGUAGAUAUUGGGAAGAACACCGGUGGCGAAGGCGGCAACCUGGCUCGAUACUGACGCUGAGGCGCGAAAGCGUGGGGAGCAAACAGGAUUAGAUACCCCGGUAGUC
rnacentral:rRNA from 1 species